AAUUGGCACUAAACGAAAUACGAAGUCCAAUCUAAAAAGAUAUUGUUGUUUUGUUAAAAGGUUGUAGUGGUACAUGAUUUACAGUUAUAUUAAGGAGAUUCAAAUUGUCUAAAGCCACUUCCUGCUAUUUGUAAAAACUGUUUAAUAAAACAUGGCAACUGUGCAUGAACCAACUGUUGUGGGAGUUGCUCACUUCAAUGCAGCUGAAGAUGCAGCAGCUUUACGAGGAGCCAUGAAAGGAUUUGGUACAGAUGAGAAUGCAAUCAUAGAAAUUCUUACAUCCAGAUCAAAUGCCCAGCGGCAGGCCAUCUCACAAGCAUUUACUCAUGAGUAUGGAAGGGACAUCAUUGAAGACCUCAAGUCAGAACUUGGAGGUCAUUUCGAAGAUGUUAUAGUUGCUUUGAUGCUGCCACCAGCUGAAUACCUUUGCAAAGAGUUGCACCAUUGCAUGGAAGGCAUGGGAACUGAUGAAAAAGUGUUGGUAGAAAUCCUAUGUACUCGAACUAAGAAAGAGAUUGCUGAGAUUGUUGAAGCAUAUGAGAGAUUAUACAAUCGGCCAUUAGCAGAACAUAUGUGUUCAGAAACAUCUGGAGAUUUUCGAAGACUUCUAACUCUGAUUGUUACUGCUAAACAACAGGGAGCUCGUGAUGAAGAAGCCGGAGUCGAUCAGGCUAGAGCAGCCGAGGCAGCUCAGCAGCUUUACGACGCGGGAGAGGCCAAGUGGGGAACUGAUGAGGAGAUAUUCAACAAGAUUCUAGCACACGAGAGUUUUGGCCAAUUGCGCGCUAUUUUUGAGGAGUACAAGAACAUCUCGGGUCGGACGAUUGAGCAGGCGAUCAAGGCCGAGAUCGCUGGAGAAUUAUCUGAAGCACUCAGUGCAAUCGUGGAAUGCGUGGAAAACCAAGCGGCUUGGUUCGCUCAGCGGCUUCGGGAUGCCAUGCAAGGUCUCGGCACCGACGAUAGGACCCUCAUCAGGAUCAUCGUCUCCCGGUCCGAGCGGGACCUCGCCGCUAUCAAGCGGGAGUACGAGGUCUUGUAUGACAAGACUCUCGUCAGCGAAGUCAGGUGGAAUGUGUGGAAAACGCGGCGGCUUGGUUCGCUAAGAGACUGCGCAGUUCGAUGCAAGGGGGCGGGACCGAAGAUAAGGCCUUGAUAAGGAUUAUUGUUAACCGAUCCGAGAUCGAUCUCGCAGCUGUCAAGAGGGAGUAUGAAAGUCUGUAUGACAAGACUCUGCAGAGUGACGUUGCGCAGGGGGAGACUUCGGGCGACUACAGGAAGGCUCUCAUCGCUCUACUUGGACCCGCCUAAGAUAAAUUUAAGAAACGCAAUUCGACAUAGUGUAGGGAAUUGUAUUGCACUAAACGUAUUUUUUGGCUGCUAUUCACUUUAAAAGUUUAAAAAACUUACUCGAAUAUUUUUUUUAUAGAGAUUGUUAUAUAUAAGUUUUUUUUUAUAAUUAUAAUUUAUUUUUUCCUACUUAGGGUAGAGAAACAAAACAUAUUCCUAAUUGUAUGGCCUUAAUGAUGCAAAAAUGCUUUGAAUGUUGAAUAAGUCCAGAGAUAUAAUAUUAUGUAAUUGUUAAAAGACAUUUAUACGAAAUCAUUCCACCGUUUCAAUUGAUUGUACUCAGUAUUUAGAUAGCUUCUUUUCUUAUUAUUUAUUAAAUAAUAUUUUAAA